CGUAAAGUGUGCGUAGGCUUCUUGAAAAGUCGUACCUUAAAGACUAAGGCUUACCCUUGGGAGUGGGUACGAUACUUUUAAGAUCGAGGAUUGUUAGGGAUGCUGGAACAGUUAGUGUAGCAGUGAAAUGCGUUGAUAUUAACUGGAACACCAAAGGCGAAGGCAAGCAUCUGGAAUUUUCCUGACGCUGAGGCACGAAAGCCAGGGGAGCGAAACAGAUUAGAUACCUGUGUAGUCCUGGCCGUAAACGAUGUCCGCUAGCUCUCUCUGCUUACAGAGGGGGCGUAAGCUAACGCGUUAAGCGGACCGCCUGGGGAGUACGGCCGCAAGGCUAAAACUCAAAGGAAUUGGCGGGGACCCGCACAACCGGUGGAGCGUGUGGUUCAAUUCGAGACAAAACGAAAAACCUCACCAGGGUUUGACAUGAUACCGUUUAUGCUUUAAGAAACUAGAGCAAAUCCGCAAGGAUGGUACCACAGGUGCUGCAUGGCUGUCGUCAGCUCGUGCCGUGAGGUGUUCCCUUAAGUGGGGAAACGAGCGCAACCCGCGUCCAAUGUUGAAUAUUCAUUGGAUACUGCCCCAGUUUUACUGGGGAGGAAGGAGCGGAAGACGUCAAGUCAGCACGGCCCUUAUACCCUGGGCUACACACACACUACAAUGGCGAAAAACAAUGGGCUGCAAGCCGGUAACGGCAAGCGAAUCCCUGAAAUUUCGCCUCAGUUCAGAUUGAGGUCUGCAACCUGACCUCAUGAAGUCGGAAUCGGUAGUAAUCGCAAAUCAGCAUGUUGCGGUGAAUACGUUCUCGGGUCUUGUACACACCGCCCGUCAAGGCAGCAAAGUCGGUAACUAUCGAACAUCCCUUUUAGGGGUGGAGAUAGAGAUUGGCGAUGAAGCUUAAGUCGUAACAAGGUAUCCCUACCCGAAGGUGGGGAUGGAUCACCUCCUUUCUA
rnacentral:rRNA from 1 species